AUGCAUCAUCCUAUUCAGAUGAAACCUGCAGAUAGUGAAAAGUCAAACGCCGUGGAAGACAGAAAAUUGUUCAUAGGCAUGGUUUCGAAGAAGUGUAACGAGAACGAUAUCAGGGUGAUGUUUUCUCCAUUUGGUCAAAUAGAAGAAUGCAGAAUCCUACGGGGACCUGACGGACUGAGUCGAGGCUGUGCGUUUGUUACAUUUUCUACAAGGGCAAUGGCACAGAAUGCAAUCAAAGCCAUGCACCAGUCUCAGACCAUGGAGGGGUGUUCUUCACCUAUAGUGGUGAAGUUUGCCGAUACACAGAAAGACAAAGAACAGAGGCGUCUACAGCAACAGUUAGCACAACAAAUGCAACAGCUUAAUACUGCCACAUGGGGGAACCUCACUGGACUUGGAGGACUUACGCCACAGUAUUUAGCACUCCUGCAGCAAGCCACCUCCUCCAGUAACCUGGGCGCAUUUAGCGGCAUUCAGCAAAUGGCUGGCAUGAAUGCUUUGCAAUUACAGAAUUUGGCUACUUUAGCAGCUGCAGCAGCCGCAGCCCAAACCUCAGCUACCACCACCAAUGCAAACCCUCUUUCCACAACGGCUAGCGCACUGGGAGCGUUAUCAAGCCCGGUGGCUGCAUCAGCUGCAAAUACCUCUGCUGGAGCUGCCAUGAAUUCUUUGACCUCUCUCGGCACUCUACAGGGAUUGGCUGGAGCCACAGUGGGAUUGAACAAUAUUAAUGCACUAGCAGGUACCGUAAACAGUAUGGCUGCUCUGAAUGGAGGACUUGGCGCAACAGGCCUGACGAACGGUACAGCCGGUACAAUGGAUGCCCUCACCCAGGCUUACUCAGGAAUUCAGCAGUAUGCCGCUGCGGCACUGCCAACACUUUACAGUCAGAGUUUGCUACAGCAGCAGAGUGCUGCAGGCAGUCAGAAAGAAGUCCUUCUCUUUAUCUUUACUUUUCAUCUAAAGGUCCAGAAGGUGCAAAUCUCUUCAUUUACCAUCUACCGCAAGAGUUUGGUGACCAGGACAUUCUCCAGAUGUUCAUGCCAUUUGGAAAUGUCAUCUCUGCUAAAGUCUUCAUAGACAAACAGACCAAUCUGAGCAAGUGCUUUGGCUUUGUUAGCUAUGACAAUCCUGUUUCCGCCCAAGCUGCUAUUCAGGCUAUGAACGGCUUUCAGAUCGGCAUGAAGCGCUUGAAAGUUCAGCUGAAACGCUCCAAAAAUGACAGCAAACCUUACUGAUCUUAACCCCAGCAGCUUUCUGCUAUUAUUUUAGCUUUCAUAGGAACAUCUCCAUGCCUGUUAGUUCACCGUUUGCCUAGCAUGUCCCUGUGGCGUCUAUUUAAAAAAAAAGUUUCAUCGUCCCGUCAUUGUUUCUGAUGUCUUUCUGACCUCACAUCAUAUUUGAUCCUCCAACUGACUUAGUUUGACUUCUGAAAUUUGCAUGUGUUCUCAUCUAGCUAAGAAUUCUGGAAAACAAAAAAAGUCAAUGUGAAAAGCAUUGCAGCAUUCACGCAAGCCUGAAAUUUACUAUAAGAAAAAUUAUAGAAAAAAAGACAAAAAACCUGUGGCAAAAAAAUCUUUUUUUUUGUUAUUUUUUGUUUCAUAACAUAAACAGACUUGAAAGUAUUAUACAGGGAUUAGCAUUCUGUCUGGUCACUGUUUCCUAAAGCAAUAUGUGUCCAGGAAUUCAGAAUGUUGGUUUCUAAAUGAGCAGACAACUUCCAAAACAGUUUGAGAAAAACUGUCUGAUUUUAAGUCUCUAGAGCUCUGUAAUAGUUUUUACAUUUUUUCAGGCAGUGUAAAGUUUUUUGAUAAGGCCAUUUUAGAUGGCUCACUUUCUCAUUAAAUUAUAUAUAUAGAACCACUUUUUUGUAGAUUAGUAUAAAAAAAUAUUUACCCUGUUUUGGGGCAAAUGCUACCUAGUUCUGUCACCUUUUGCUGAACUGACUCACAGUUAGACAAUCCAUGGUUUAAUGCACAUGAAAUUACCUAUAUUUUAUACUGUUUAAAUGUACAGAAAAGAAGGUAAAUGUAUACUGUGUCACGUUGGUGCUUCUAUGAAUUUAGUUGUGGCUUCAUUAAGUCUUAAGAGUCUUCAGUGUUCUAUGUUUGAUAAGUUUAACAAAAAUUGGUUUACUUGAACUAAAAUAAUUUUCAGAUAUUAAAAUGUCUGUUUGCUAUAAUUUCAUGUGAAACAAAUCUAUUCCAGAAAAAUAAGUUUUGUGUUGGCUUGUAAAGCAUUGAUGUUCUUAUUUUUUAUUGUGGGGAAACUUAGAUGUGUUUGUGUUCAGCAAAAUGUGACCUGUUUUUUUUCUUUGAAAGAAAAAAAUCAGUGAAAAUACAGUGCCAAAUUCCAAAGGUACUUCCUGCCUAAAGCUUCAGUGUAUUUCGUGUACGAAGUAAUUUGAUAACAUGGGUAUUUUAUUAUGUGUUUUGUAUAAAUCCCUUCUAUUUAAAAAAGAGAGAUUACAAAAUUUGUUAACUUGCUAUCCUGUGGUCUUGUUGCUUGAAAUUGUUAUUGUUUGUUAUAUCUCUUUGAUGUUUUUUGGUAAUACAUUGUAUACAGUAAGUGCCCAUGUUCCACUUUUUUAACCACUCUGCACAUCAAAUCUGUGAAAGCAAACCUCACGAGUCACAAUUGUAUUUUCUUCAUGGUCUGUGGAAGUCUUUAUGGUGAUAAAUAGUUGAACUACUAUUCCUUUUAAGCAUACUGUCCUAAAGAAUCAUGGUAUAUAAAGUAAACACAAGCACACUGAAUCCAUUGUUUAUAAGGCGCAUCCAUAAGUUAAUGUAGAACAAACAAAACUUCCACUUUUUAGGUAUGAUUAAGUGAAAUAUAUAGGGCAUUGACUGCUCAUUUUACAGAGCCAGUCAUGUAGUAUCAAGAAGUGCCAUAUUUGUAGUCAUUAAUCUCCAUCCUCUAUACGUCAUCAAAACUUUAUUUUUCAUUU